GAAACUGGAAGACUUGAGUGCAGGAGAGGAAAGUGGAAUUCCCAGUGUAGCGGUGAAAUGCGUAGAUAUUGGGAGGAACACCAGUAGCGAAGGCGGCUUUCUGGACUGCAACUGACACUGAGGCACGAAAGCGUGGGUAGCAAACAGGAUUAGAUACCCUGGUAGUCCACGCUGUAAACGAUGAGUACUAGGUGUCGGGGGUUACCCCCCUCGGUGCCGCAGCUAACGCAUUAAGUACUCCGCCUGGGGAGUACGCACGCAAGUGUGAAACUCAAAGGAAUUGACGGGGACCCGCACAAGUAGCGGAGCAUGUGGUUUAAUUCGAAGCAACGCGAAGAACCUUACCUAAGCUUGACAUCCCUUAGACCGGUGUUUAAUCACACCUUCCCUUCGGGGCUGAGGUGACAGGUGGUGCAUGGUUGUCGUCAGCUCGUGUCGUGAGAUGUUGGGUUAAGUCCCGCAACGAGCGCAACCCUUGUCUUUAGUUGCCAGCAUUCAGUUGGGCACUCUAGAGAGACUGCCAGGGAUAACCUGGAGGAAGGUGGGGAUGACGUCAAAUCAUCAUGCCCCUUAUGCUUAGGGCUACACACGUGCUACAAUGGGUGGUACAGAGGGUUGCCAAACCGUGAGGUGGAGCUAAUCCCUUAAAGCCAUUCUCAGUUCGGAUUGUAGGCUGAAACUCGCCUACAUGAAGCUGGAGUUGCUAGU
rnacentral:rRNA from 1 species